UACAGAGGUCCCAAGCGUUGUUCGGAUUCAUUGGGCGUAAAGGGCGCGUAGGCGGCGGGUCAAGUCGAGUGUGAAAGCCCCGGGCUCAACCUGGGAAUUGCGCUCGGGACUGGGCUGCUUGAGUUCGGGAGAGGAGCGUGGAAUUCCCAGUGUAGAGGUGAAAUUCGUAGAUAUUGGGAAGAACACCGGUGGCGAAGGCGGCGCUCUGGACCGAGACUGACGCUGAGGCGCGAAAGCGUGGGGAGCAAACAGG
rnacentral:rRNA from 1 species